AGUCAAGCGCGAGAAGGGCGUUUGGUGGAUGCCUUGGCAGUAAGAGGCGAUGAAGGACGUGAUACUCUGCGAUAAGCCGGGGGGAGUCGAGAAUAGGCUUUGAUCCCCGGAUUUCCGAAUGGGGAAACCCACCUGACACUGUUCAACUGUUGCUCUCACGAGCGUUCAAUUGGACUGUGAGACAGGUAUUUUUGACCUGAAUCGAUAGGGUCUUAAAGGCAAACCCGGGGAACUGAAACAUCUAAGUACCCGGAGGAAAGGACAGCAACAGCUACUCCCCUAGUAGUGGCGAGCGAACGGGGACCAGCCGAGCCAUGAGAGUGACCGGAACAGUCUGGAAAGGCUGACCGGAGAGGGUGACAGUCCCGUACGGGAAGCUCGAAUGGACGUAUCAAGUAGGGCGGGACACGUGAAAUCCUGUCUGAAGAUCGGAGGACCACCUUCGAAGGCUAAGUACUCCUUACUGACCGAUAGCGAACCAGUACCGUGAGGGAAAGGUGAAAAGCACCCCGACGAGGGGAGUGAAACAGUCUCUGAAACCGGACGCCUACAAGCAGUCGGAGGGGCCAUGAGCCCUGACGGCGUACCUUUUGUAUAAUGGGUCAUCGACUUGGUCUUCCAAGCAAGCUUAAGCCGUUAGGUGUAGGCGCAGCGAAAGCGAGUCUGAAUAGGGCGUCGAGUUUGGGGGAUCAGACCCGAAACCGAGUGAUCUAGGCAUGGCCAGGUUGAAGGUACGGUAACACGUACUGGAGGACCGAACCCACAUCUGUUGAAAAAGGUCGGGAUGAGCUGUGCCUAGGGGUGAAAGGCCAAUCAAACUCGGAGAUAGCUGGUUCUCCGCGAAAUCUAUUUAGGUAGAGCGUCAUGUCUCGCCCCGGGGGGUAGAGCACUGGAUGGGUAAUGGGGCCCCACAGGCUUACUGAUCCUAACCAAACUCCGAAUACCGAGGAGAACUGUACAGCAGACACACUGCGGAUGCUAACGUCCGUAGUGGAGAGGGAAACAACCCUGACCUCCAGCUAAGGCCCCUAAUUCAUGGCUAAGUGGGAAAGCAGGUGGGACGACCAAGACAACCAGGAGGUUGGCUUAGAAGCAGCCAUCCUUUAAAGAUAGCGUAACAGCUCACUGGUCUAAACAAGAUGUCCUGCGGCGAAGAUGUAACGGGGCUCAAGCCACGAGCCGAAGCUUAGGAGUGCGUAGGCACUGGUAGCGGAGCGUAGUGUGAUGCGGACCCAGUCCGCUUUCUGUGAAGCCGGGGCGUGAGCCAGCCGGUGGAGAGAUCACUAGCGAGAAUGAUGACAUGAGUAGCGAUAAACAGGGUGAGAGACCCUGUCGCCGGAAGUCCAAGGGUUCCUGCUUAAAGCUAAUCUGAGCAGGGUGAGCCGGCCCCUAAGGCGAGGCCGAAAGGCGUAGUCGAUGGGAACCAGGUCAAUAUUCCUGGGCCAGGAGGAUGUGACGGAUCUCGAAGGUGGUUUCUCCUUACUGGAUUGGGGUGGCCGCUCAGAGGUUCCAGGAAAUAGCCCUCCAUCAGACCGUACCCUAAACCGACACAGGUGGACUGGUAGAGAAUACCAAGGCGCUUGAGAGAACGAUGUUGAAGGAACUCGGCAAAAUGCCUCCGUAAGUUCGCGAGAAGGAGGCCCGGUUCCGAGGCAACUUGGAGCCGGGGGCACAAACCAGGGGGUGGCGACUGUUUACUAAAAACACAGGGCUCUGCGAAGUCGCAAGACGACGUAUAGGGUCUGACGCCUGCCCGGUGCUUGAAGGUUAAAAGGAGGGGUGCAAGCUCCGAAUUGAAGCCCAAGUAAACGGCGGCCGUAACUAUAACGGUCCUAAGGUAGCGAAAUUCCUUGUCGGGUAAGUUCCGACCUGCACGAAUGGCGUAACGACUUCCCCGCUGUCUCCAGCAUCGACUCAGCGAAAUUGAAUUGCCUGUCAAGAUGCAGGCUUCCCGCGGUUAGACGGAAAGACCCCGUGAACCUUUACUAUAGCUUCGCAUUGGCAUCAGGCUUGUGAUGUGCAGGAUAGGUGGUAGACAUUGAAGGCAGGACGCAAGUCCUGUUGGAGUCUCCCUUGAGAUACCACCCUUGACAUUCUUGUUGUCUAACCGCGUUCCGUCAUCCGGAACCGGGACCGUGCGUGGUGGGUAGUUUGACUGGGGCGGUCACCUCCUAAAGAGUAACGGAGGUGUGCGAAGGUGGGCUCAGAGCGGUCGGAAAUCGCUCGUAGAGUGCAAUGGCAAAAGCCCGCUUGACUGCGAGACUGACAAGUCGAGCAGAGACGAAAGUCGGCCAUAGUGAUCCGGUGGUUCCGAGUGGAAGGGCCAUCGCUCAACGGAUAAAAGGUACUCCGGGGAUAACAGGCUAAUGGUGCCCAAGAGUUCAUAUCGACGGCACCGUUUGGCACCUCGAUGUCGGCUCAUCUCAUCCUGGGGCUGGAGCAGGUCCCAAGGGUACGGCUGUUCGCCGUUUAAAGAGGUACGUGAGCUGGGUUUAGAACGUCGUGAGACAGUUCGGUCCCUAUCUGCCGUGGGUGUAGGAAACUUGAGAGGAGUUGCCCCUAGUACGAGAGGACCGGGGUGAACGAUCCACUGGUGGACCUGUUGUGGCGCCAGCCGCAUCGCAGGGUAGCUAUGAUCGGACAGGAUAACCGCUGAAGGCAUCUAAGCGGGAAGCCCCCCUCGAAACAAGGUAUCCCUUGAGGGCCGUCGCAGACUACGACGUCGAUAGGCCGGAGGUGUAAGCGCAGCAAUGCGUUCAGCUGACCGGUACUAAUUGCCCGAUAGGCUUGAUUUG
rnacentral:rRNA from 1 species